rnacentral:rRNA from 1 species
ACAUGCAAGUCGAACGAUGAAGCCUGCAACUUGUUGUGGGUGGAUUAGUGGCGAACGGGUGAGUAAUACGUGGGUAACCUGCCCUCCUUUUUGGGAUAAGCCUUGGAAACGGGGUCUAAUACCGAAUAUUCUGGCGCUCUCGCAUGGGGGUGUUGGGAAAGCUUUUGUGUGAAGGGGGAUGGGCUCGCGGCCUAUCAGCUUGUUGGUGGGGUGAUGGCCUACCAAGGCGGUGACGGGUAGCCGGCCUGAGAGGGUGACCGGCCACAUUGGGACUGAGAUACGGCCCAGACUCCUACGGGAGGCAGCAGUGGGGGAUAUUGCACAAUGGGCGAAAGCCUGAUGCAGCGACGCCGCGUGGGGGAUGAAGGCUUUCGGGUUGUAAACCUCUUUCGCUAUCGAACAAGGCCCGCUUAGGGUGGGUUGAGGGUAG